rnacentral:rRNA from 1 species
UAACGGCGAGUGAAGCGGCAACAGCUCAAAUUUGAAAGCUGGCCUUCGGGUCCGCAUUGUAAUUUGUAGAGGAUGCUUUGGGGCAGCCGCCUGUCUAAGUUCCUUGGAACAGGACGUCAUAGAGGGUGAGAAUCCCGUAUGUGACAGGACAUGGCACCCUAUGUAAAGCUCCUUCGACGAGUCGAGUUGUUUGGGAAUGCAGCUCUAAAUGGGAGGUAAAUUUCUUCUAAAGCUAAAUACCGGCGAGAGACCGAUAGCGCACAAGUAGAGUGAUCGAAAGAUGAAAAGCACUUUGGAAAGAGAGUUAAAAAGCACGUGAAAUUGUUGAAAGGGAAGCGCUUGCAAUCAGACUUGUCUUUGGCUGUUCGGCCGGUCUUCUGACCGGUUUACUCAGCCAGGGACAGGCCAGCAUCAGUUUCGGCGGUCGGAUAAAGGCCUUGGGAAUGUGGCUCUGCCUUCGGGUAGAGUGUUAUAGCCCAGGGUGUAAUACGGCCAGCCGGGACUGAGGUCCGCGCUUCGGCUAGGAUGCUGGCGUAAUGGUUGUAAGCGACCCGUCUUGAAACACGGACCAAGGAGUCUAACAUCUAUGCGAGUGUUCGGGUGUCAAACCCCUACGCGUAAUGAAAGUGAACGGAGGUGAGAACCGCAAGGUGCAUCAUCGACCGAUCCUGAUGUCUUCGGAUGGAUUUGAGUAAGAGCAUAGCUGUUGGGACCCGAAAGAUGGUGAACUAUGCCUGAAUAGGGUGAAGCCAGAGGAAACUCUGG